UUUUCAGUGCUCUCUGCACUUGGCGGUUUGCUUGAGACGUUUCAUGACCCAAGUAGGUAACAGCAUCAAUGCUAGAAGAGGGUGGGGUUUGUAGAGAGGAAGAAGAGGAGGAGCAGAAAGAAAACGGGUUCUUGGUGCUCUCUGAGCAUCACUGUUUUCUGGCAGACAUUUAAUGAUCCAACAGCACCAGUGCUGGAAGGGAGACGGGU